UUUUUUUUUUUUUUGGUCUUUCUGCCAUCUCCUGGGCAGCUCCUGAGACACAUGGACGUUCCCAGGCCAGGGGUCGAAUCGGAGCUGCAGCCGCCAGCCUGCGCCAGAGCCACAGCAACAUGGGAUCCGAGCCACAUCUGCAACCCACACCACAGCUCACGGCAACGCCAGAUCCUCAACCCACUGAGUGAGGCCAGGGAUCGAACCCGCAACCUCAUGGUUCCCAGUCGGACUCGUUAACCACUGAGCCACAACGGGAACUCCUAGAUGGUCUUUUUUUAAAAGGUUACGAAACUAAUAUAUACUGCAUUAUCUGUCUUGAGGAUCUAUGUUUUGGGGUAUAAUGACAUCCACUGUCUUUGAAGGGACAACUUCUUUUCAAUGUCCAUCAUGGAUUUCAUGGUGGAGAUUCCUGUAAUGUGUGCCCAGCUCAGAAAUCAUCAAAUGCUCAGAAAGGAAAGGGAUAUCGUUGCAAAAGGAGCAAGUCCAAUGUUGUGUGAAGUAGAAGAAUAAACUUCUAGUAGGAUAGCACUGAUGGAUGUUGUUUCAGGAAAAAUGAAAAGAACGCUCGCUUUGCUGAAAUGUUCCCGCUUCUCAAGAAACUACUGAAGGAAUUUCCUACAGUUUUCCUAGUUGGGAUGGGGGGGGUGGUCCUUAGGUCAGAACACCCAUUGUCUCUCCCCCUUCCUGGAACCAAAACCCACCUCUGCCCUUCAGAGCCCUAAGAAGGAGAUUCUUCACUGCAUCAGGUCGGCACUCCAGGAGCAGAGACUGGAGGGAGGGGUUUUCCAAGGAGAGUUCUGGCACUAGAGACUGAGGUCUAAGGGGACACCAAUGAGCACUGAGAUGAGACAGGACCACGCUGAGGCUCCGCUGUGCCGGUACCCAGAUCUGCAAGAGCCACCUCCUCCAGGCUGAAGACUGGGUUUUCAGCAGCACUAACUCUGAUGCCUGACAAGCUCUCACUAAGUGGAAACCUGAUCCCAAGAAAGGAAAGAAGAAGGCAAUGCACCCUGCAGAAUUCCCACCAGAUCUGAGGGAGUUGAAAGGAACAUUGCAGGCGUGCCCACUGUGGUGCAAUGGGUUAAGGGUCUGACUACAGCGGCUUGGGUUGCUGUGGGUCCUUGAGAUUGAUCCCAAGCCUGUUGCAGUGGAUUAGAGGAUCCAGCAUUGCCACAGCGGUGGUGCAGGUCCAGGUGCAGCUCAGAUUCAGUCCCUGACCCAGGAGAUUCUUCAUCACUGGUGUGGCCAUAAAUACAAAUAGAUGAGAGAUUUUUUUAAAGACCCAUUGCAGGACCCCAGCACAUCAGGAAACAGCUCAUGGAGACUGGGGCAGGGAUUCAGGAAACCUUCUAUAGCUGGUGCUGAGCAUCACUUAAUCUCUAGAAAGAAGAGUCCCAUCUCCUGGCUGCAGGUUCCACUGCUCUACAAUGGACACCUGGAAGGAACAGGUGAGGCCAGGAGGCAGGGCAUUUCACAGAGCCUAGUGCUGGACAAACCCUGCAACACGCAGAGAGGAGGCUCAGGGGGGGUGAAGGAAGGGAGCCAGAGAGGAGCAGGCAGGUGCAAGGUUAUCUAUGAUCUGCUUGCAUGCAACUGACAUGACCCCCUAACCCUGUGGGCACCCACUGUGUUUCACAAACCAACUGACUCAAUCCCUUCUCGGCAGCCCUGUUCCUCUCACACAGACAGGCUUCACACACCCUCGCACACCCUACACACCUCACACACACACACAAGCACAGAGCCUAAAGGAGCCUAAAUGCAUAAAACAUGAGAAUCCCAUGGAGAGUCCUCUUCAAAGCAGGCAAAUGGUGUGUGUGGGGGGAACAGCCCGGACACCCAGCUGAGGUCAGUCCCUGGACCUGCCAAACACUGGGAGCCACGGGGACUCCAAAGAAGCUCCCUGAGAGCAAGGGAGACGGUGGACAGGACGGAAACCCACUCACCUCAGUCCACACCAAAUAUCACCCCUCUGUAAAAUCUGCCGCUAAAAUAAGUCCACCCUCCACAGGAGAGGAACCAGUAUUCACCAUCAGCAGUGGUCCUUUUUGGUCAAAAACAUAGGGUCUCCACAGAGGCUUGGGCUCCCUAACUCCAGGCAUCUUUCCCUGCAAUGAAGCAUUCACACCCUGGCUGUGGGAUCCCAGGAAAGAGACAAAACUCUUACCUUGACCGCCCACCAUGAUGAGCAGGAGGAAGCAGAGUCCCUGAAGAGAGAGAUGUCUGUCCAGAGCCAUCCUGACUCCCAAGUCAUCAAGGUCAAAGUCCCAGCUGCAAAAUAACCUGGGAG
rnacentral:lncRNA from 1 species